rnacentral:lncRNA from 1 species
ACAGACUGAUCCUGCUGUUACAAGACUGAAUCAAAGUUCCCAAAGCAAUCCAAACAUAGCACCACAAAAGGCAAAGAAAUAUAGAUGUAAACUCAAAUUUAUAAUCAUAGUUAUCUUAAUGGAUUCUUCUAAAACAUGUGAAGUACUCCUGUCAGGCACUUGAACACGUGGGUCAGGUUAUGGCAUAGUGUGUUCAACAUGAGUGGUUGGACAUUGAACAAAACAAGCAUUUUAAAAAUUUGAGUUUGGCAUAUAAUUAUGCAUUUGAGAAUCUCAGAUUCCGCAUGAAAUGUUCUGUUGCACCUUAUAAACAUCAUUUCACACUAAACAUUAAGAUUAUUAAGAAAACAUUCAUGUGUCCAAGUAUUCCUUAGGCAUAGGAAUUCAGAUAAAUCCAACCGUUACCACACAUAACCUGCACCCGCACCCAUACACCGAGUCAAUUUAACAUAAACCAUGUCAUUCCACAAACUGGAAAAAAGAAAAAAAAGACCAAAGGAUAAGAAAAUUAGCUAAGAUUUUUAAAUGUCAGAUGACACCCAUUGUUUGUUGAACGGGCAAAAGAAUUCUUAGUGAGUCCAAUUUUCAAUAAUUAUAUUUUUAAAAAAACUGUCAUAGACAUUCUAAAGCAGAAGUCAAAGAUCCAAGCCAUAAUAUCGCUUGGUUCGGAACUACUCCCCAGGACACAACAAAUAGAUAUUUAAAGCAGAAAUAUCGUAAAGUCAAACUUCACACAGCAUCAAAGUGGCAUCCACCGUCAGGAUGACUGCUCUUUGCUUGUUUCUAAAAAAUGUUCCCUCACCUCAAAUGUCUAGGGUUACAUUAUCCAUAUCAAACCCCCCCCCAAAUUCUUCAUCAAUAUAUAAGCACCAUAACAGGUCAGGGCCCCGUUCAGCUUCUUUCACCAGGGAAUCAUCCAGCCCUUUUGCUUUGAAGUGUGGAGGCUCACUGCCUUCAGCAUCAAGGACUAAAAUCCAAACAACAGCACUUAGAAGACUACAUUAGUUCUAUUUAUUGAGACCAAACCUGACAGGUCGUCCAAAUGGAUGUAUAUGGACCCUUCGACAUAUGCAAAAAUAUGUAUGUUGGAUUCACUCCACAAAUGGGCAAAGGAUAUGGUAUGUGUCCAAAUGUUCUACUUCACAUCAAGCAGUCUAAUUUCAAGUUUCAUACAAUCUGAUGAACAGAACUUCAAUGUUAUGUGGGAAAAUGAUUACCUCAAAAAUGAUUUUACCUAGAAAAAUAAAAUUAAAAAAAAAGAAAAAUUAGACAAUUUGUAAUGUCCUGGUUGUCCCAUAAAGUAAUGGAAUUGAUGGAAUCAACCAUUCUUACUGGGAUGGACAGGUUAGGCUGGGAGUUCUCUGCACAAGUAAUAAAAAUAAAAAAGAAUAGAUAAUCCAAUGCUUACCAUACCAGCACCCAAUACCUAUACCAAGAUUUGAGUAAAAACUAACAACUAAGUUUCUACCCCAGGUGAUGGUGAUUAGGGAUCUGGACAGACUAAGGCAAACAGUCUGCCAAAUAAGAUCUGCAGGAAUUAUGCGUGACCUCAUAAAAGGUUAAAAGACACCUAAAAUGCAGCCAAAAGUUAAUACAAGAUGAUAGGCACACCGAGCGGCCAAGGUCUAUUGGCGCCCUAACUAAGCGCGAUGUGCCGCUUCUUAUCGAAAGUGAGGCACACAUUAUCAAGAAAGAAAAAAGUAGUAAAAAUAACAUGGCCAAAUAACUCGUUUCAACAUGGGAAAAUGUGAAAUUCGCAAGUUAUAAGCAAUAAGAGUAUGAUCUUUUAGAAGAAUUAUUUACAUCAGAAAUCAUAAUAAAUCUGCCAAUUACUUCUCAAAAAAACUAGAAAUAGGUGAAGGAGAGAGAGAGAGAAGUCGGCGAACACCCAGUACCGCUCUAGUCGACAGUCGCACCCACCAAUAAUCUAAUCGACACUCAACAGGAUUAAAAAAGUAUAAGGGCCCUUUAGUCAUUGGCUGAAGGAUAUGUGGACGGUUCAGAUUAACUUUAUUUACCGGCAAACAAAAUUGAAAGAGGGGAUUACCUCUUUACCUCUCGCAAAAAGUUCAUGCCUUGUGCGCCAGCACAUUACCAAAGGCGACAAUUGGUGCGCCUGCAUGCCACCUUGCACCUCGCCUCACUUUUGCACCUUUAAAACAUGGUGUCCAGCUCCUACUCUUACAAAUGAUUCAAAAGAUCUCACACGCGUUCCAUUUUUAGGGGGGAGGUAAAUUUGUUUUUUUUCCUAGGACAUGUCAGACAUUGGCCAACGACAGCAUGACCAGUAAAGGCCUCCACUCCUAGUUUUGUGUCCGUACCAUUCGAGAACAUUAUAUUGCUCCAUGUACGAUUCUAUUACCAUUACCAAGUUGGCAUGUCCAUUUGUGUCAAAGCAGGGUCCCAUAUCCAAAUCAUGAGUCAUCAAUUGAUUUAAUGUAAAAUAAAUGCUUAAUACUAGCAAUAAACAAAACGACAGUAAUAAAAGUUCCUCUGUUGGACAGAAAAAAAAAAUCUCUCGUAAAAACUCAAAAAAACGGAAUGGAUAUAAGAAGCGGAAGUAGUGAAUGUAUCUCUUCGGUUACAUGCAGAAAUGGAAUGUCACAUUCCACUUUUAUUAACCAAACAAGGCAGCAAAGACCUGGAUUUCUAACCAUGCACUACAUGCUACAGAGCGUCCAAAUUGAAAUCUGACUAAAUAUGUUUCUAAGGAAAAGAAAAAAAGAAAAGAAAGAGGAAUGACUGUCCGACAGACUUUCACCUUACUAGCACAAGAAAUUACACAUCACAAAUUGGAAACAUUACUUCUGAACGAGUUUCAGAGUGUGUACAUGAAAAAAACAAUCCGCAGGAAGAAAACUGUAAAGUGAUCCAACCGUAAAAAAAUUAGAAAAAGCAAUCAAUAAAUAUCUUACAUCCUCUGAAAAACUUACCUCGGCAUGCAAAGGGGCAAUGUAUUGAAGUCCCCCUCCUUUUUUAAGGGAAUUUCGAUUCCAGUCUGAUGCUACAGUAAAAAAUCUGGGAUUACCGAGGGUCUGCGCAACCAAUUCACACGCCCGUCUUCCUCUUUGUCGAGAUUUGUUCUUACAUGACGAUGACCCUUUUCUUUUAUCUCUACAACUUCUUUUCUUCACUUCCCUUCAACAUUCUUCCUUGGGAUUGCUAUGUUUCCUCUCGUACCAUGGACAAACAUGUUUGCUUCUUCUUGAACUAGAAUUUCCAACCUCAGAAUGCCUGCGUUAGCCAAAAGGGACUGUUGAUACCAAAGGAUGGAUAAUAGAUUUCUUCUCCUUCCCUCUUGUUCUUUGCUUGAUAACUUAUCAAAGGGCUUCCUGUGAUGAAGUGGGGUAUUGCUUCAUACCUAAAAAGAACUUAUCGAACAGCACAAGAUAUCAAAUCAGUUGUUUGGGACUAGGAUUGUGGCUGCCAAUACGGGACCCAUCUCCUUCAUCCCUUUUACGACAAAAGGUCUAGGCUUGUUUGUUUGACUUUUUUUGUCUUGGAAACAAGUGACUGCUCUGUAAGCUUAAAAGAUAUCCACAUCAUCACUGACAUUAAUUCGCAAUUUAGCUUCAUUACAGGUGGUAGUAAACCAGGACCGUGUUUCCUUUAUCUCUGAAGGGAGUAAUAUAAACAAUUGCCGCUUGCGAUGCUCGGCCAGCUGAGCAUUGACUCAGACGGGUUCUAAUAAUUUCUUCUUCUGGCAGUCAAAGAUGGAACCCACUGCUCUCCUCGAAAUGAGGUUCAAGGGAAAAAUGAGCAUGUGUAGGUUAAAUGAACAUCACACACAAACGUUUCCAAGUCAUUAAGAAUUAUCCUUGAGCAUAAGUUCAUCGGUAUUAGGUACCCUUUCUUGAGCACUCAUUGAAACUGGACCAAGUUCUCCAAAAAAAGGCAUCAUGCAGCAGCUUCAUUAAACUUCAGAAGCUUUUAAUUUUUCCAUCACAAAAUUUCCUUCAUCGCAUCGGAGUGAUACGAAUUUCUUGCUCUAAGGAACUCGAUUAGACCAAGUACAUUCCGCGCCCUAUCUUGUUACUUCCAACCUCAUGGCUUCUGCUAGCGGGACCCAAAGCAGUUUCAAACAAUAUCUAAUAGGUUUAUGAUGAUCCAUUGCGUAAAUUGUGUUUAUUUAAAGAAGCUGAGGAAGAGCUUGGCCCAGGAGCGACAAGUGUUUCCCUAUCAUUUUUCGGAAAUAAUUGUCUUCAACUGAUUGACAUUAAAACCUUGGGUGAUCUUAUUUUCUUCAGGAAUGCGCAAGAGGCUUCAGAUGUUGCUCAAUGGAACCCUAUGGACAUCCCUUUCAGAGAUCGCAAGUGCUACUCUCGGUUUUCCAAAUCAUAAGCACGAGAGGAAGAAGCAACAGCUUCUUUGGGAAGAGCUAAGAACGUAGACAGAAGGAUUAAUACUUUAAAAUGCGAAUGAAAUAAUACAAUCUAAUUGACGUGGCAAAAGGACCAGUGGUGGUUGUAAUAGUUCCUUCCAUAAGAUCAAUCGGAUUUAUUCGAGAACUCAACAUACUCCCCUGACACCCAAGCAAGCGAGAUAAUACCCUCUUUAAGAAAGGAUACCCAGCCAUGCAGGAUCAAUUCAGUAGAUCACGACCAACAUGAACAAGCUAUGGUACUCACAUCCUUCACUUCAUACCAAUAUCAAUCAGAUGGCUCUCAAUUUCUUCCCCCUUUGCAAUGAGGGAUCCGUCAUCUCCCAAAAGAAAUGAUACGUACCAAUCAAAAAUCAACAAUUAUCUCGGAAAAAUUUCGACUACAAGUUGUGCACUGACCCAAGAAUCUCAUUGCAAAACUCUGGAAUCGAUUUCAGUGCCAUAAUAUCCAGACCCAUAAAUUUCAGCCACGUUGUCCUCGGCACCAUGGACAUCAACAAAUGCAAAGCUUGCAGCUUAAUAUUAGGACGGUAUCACUCAACCGACUUAUUAAGACAAACUCCUUGUUCUCAACACGCCCACGAAUGCUUUAGCGCAACAAUUGAAAGAGCUUGCAAUCCGAUAUACUUAAGAUUCGGAUCAUCAUCCCCAACCAAAAAUCCUGAACCGUAGCAACGCAAGUCUCAAUGCAGAAUCAUAAUCACUCAACUAGCACUAUGUCCUUAAUACACUCAAAUAUCAACGCUUUGCCCCGUUCUCCUCUCUAUGCUCACAAAUCGGAUCAACAAUCCAUCUUCGCCAAUCUCGGCUCCAACGGGGCCAACUGGCAAUAUCUUCAAAACUUAAUCAACACCCAAUUUUAUUCCUGAAUCCACCAAAAACCCUAUAAAACUCAGGUGCCAAUGGGAGAUACGAAUGGGGUUCCUCGACGCGAGCUCACAGAAACACUACACAACAACAGACACCAUCUGCAGAUCGGGGAACUCUCUAAAUUAUCGACCAAUCGCUUUGGUGAAACAAACCCCAACAGCAUCCGGGGUACUCCCCGAAAACCAUCAAAUCGUGGCUAUCGCUUUCUACGAAUAAAAGGCUUAGAAACUACACAGUAAUGUGAAGAUUUUCGGGGGUUAGUCACGGGCGCAUUGGAGGGCUGAGGCUUACCCCGAAGUCGUGGAGGAGGGGACUGGUAUUGCGGAGCGGGUUUGGUGGUAGAGGAGGGAUGGGAGGAAGACGGAGGGUGGCGGGGAGGCGGGAAAGUAGUAGGCGAUCUCUCUGUGGCGGAAGUGUGGGGGAGCGGCUGAGCUCGACGGCGGGUGAGGAAGGCGGAAAAGGAGUUGUCGAACGCCGUGGAGGGAGCGGAGGAAGUAGGUGAGCUUCUGAGGACGGCAGAGGGCCUUGUGUCCGUGGUCCGGCGACGACCUCGCGGGGAUCUCGUCGAGGGAUGUGGAUAUUGAUGUGGGGUAAAGUAUUCACCUAUUAAUGUUCAAAGUACCCCGCCCCAAGGGAGGCUGACGUGCCAUAAUCAAUCCUAUGAAGUCCCAUCUCCGCAUUUACAUACCAAAUGUUCUCGAACCUUCUUGACGAGGGUAAACAAGUCCAAAGUUCGGCAUGGGACCUCGCCCAAGUCAUCUUACUGAGCUCGCCAGAGCCACCAGCAGAAUACUCAUCAGUUCGUACGAGUUAAAGUAUGCCUCCUCCUCGCCAUUGGGCGAGGCAGAGUACUUGGAAUCUCCAUCUCCAGACUCCCUAUCAACAGAAUCCUAUCUAUACAUGGAAACUAACCCCUGCGAGAUUUCCUAUUGUCACGACACCAACAAUUAGUGGAUGUUCUCAGAUGGCAAUCUUCCCAAUUAUGUCGUGUCUUAAGAUAUUCUUCUGCUUCUUUCCUUCUCUCCGUAUUCCUCUCCGAGAGAUCUUUCCAACUUGUCCUUCCGAGGAUCUCGCCGUGAUCAAGGAACGGCCAUUACUCCGUCUAUAAAAGGCCGCCUCCCCAUAAACAAAGGUACCGCUCUAAAACGCUGAAAACGAUCCACAAUUCUCUUUAGAGCUAUCUUAUAGGUUGUCAUCGCCUCGAUAGAUCUCAAGCCGAGGGGUUUUAAGCGGGCCUCGCCCCGCGCCGUUUACUUUUGUUGUCUGUGCAGGCGCCCUUCAAAUAUCCGAGGUUAGUGCCGAGGAGAACGAGAAUAUUGACUGUUUGUUGCCUCGCCCCAGUUUUUACCACAACAGAUAUGAAGGUGGACUCGUAAACCAGAUGGAGGCGGACGCCCUUGAUGAGGUCCUCCAGGGUGCGCGGAACAGCGAGUCAAUGAGCGAUGGACCUUGUCAUUGAUCGAUAACUAUCUUCUCUUUCUUCUCUAUAUAUAUAUACGUGUAUGUAGAUAUAUAUAUAUAUAUAUCAGUGUUUUCUUUUCUCUAUCUAGGAUGAGACCAUGAUUGAGGAGGGAAGGAAAGUUUAGGGAUCUGUAUCACACACCCCGGCAUUCGACUGGGGUGGUAGCACUAUGAAUUGGUAUUUUAAUUUGGGAAGGAUAAAUUUCACCAUUAGUAAUACUUUGAUUCCAAUAGUUUAAUUUAAACAAUUAAAACCCUAAAAUUUAAGUAUGUUAUUUAAUGUAGCCUCUUCCCCUUUAAAUACUCGUUAAUAAUUUAGACAAAAAAAAAUAUAAAAAUUAAUGUAGUCACUUUUAAAAAUUAAAGUAAAAUUUUGAUCAAACUAUAAGGUUCAAUUAUGGUAAAAAAUAUCAUCUAAAAAAUGUCAUAUGAAUUUUCCUUGCUUGUUUUUUUAUCAAAAUUCCUAUCUGUUAUUGAUGGGGGACAAUAUUAAAAUCAAAUAAAAAAAUCUCAGAGUUUUAAUUGUUUAAAAUAAAAUUAUCAAGGAUCAAAUAAAACUAUAAUCAAACUACAAGAACCAUUGGUGGAAUUUACCCUAUAAGGAAAGAGGUGUGAUGUACAAGAGAUUACAAAGCCAGCCAACUGGGUGCUUCUGUUUGGAUCAUUGUAAAAUCAGUUCUUUAAUGAGAAUGUUUUUUCUCCUGAUAUAAGGGAUGGAUAAGCGUCAAAAGAUUUAAGAAAGAUAUGAUGAAAUUUGAAUAAUUGAGUGAGUGUUUAUUGUGGUUGAA